rnacentral:rRNA from 1 species
UACGUAGGGGGCAAGCGUUGUCCGGAAUCACUGGGCGUAAAGCGCGCGCAGGCGGCAAUCUACGUCCGGGGUGAAAGCCCAGAGCUCAACUCUGGGACUGCCUUGGAUACGGGAUCGCUUGAGGAUCGGAGAGGCAAGGGGAAUUCCACGUGUAGCGGUGAAAUGCGUAGAGAUGUGGAGGAACACCUGUGGCGAAGGCGCCUUGCUGGCCGAUUUCUGACGCUGAGGCGCGAAAGCGUGGGGAGCAAACAGG